rnacentral:rRNA from 1 species
UACGUAGGGCGCAAGCGUUGUCCGGAAUUAUUGGGCGUAAAGAGCUCGUAGGCGGUCUGUCGCGUCUGCUGUGAAAACUCGGGGCUUAACCCCGGGCCUGCAGUGAGUACGGGCAGACUAGAGUGCGGUAGGGGAGACUGGAAUUCCUGGUGUAGCGGUGAAAUGCGCAGAUAUCAGGAGGAACACCAAUAGCGAAGGCAGCUCGCUGGGACGUUACUGACACUGAGGCGCGAAAGCGUGGGGAGCGAACAGG